rnacentral:rRNA from 1 species
UACGUAGGUGGCAAGCGUUGUCCGGAUUUAUUGGGUUUAAAGGGUGCGUAGGCGGCCCUGUAAGUCAGUGCUGAAAUAUCCCAGCUUAACUGGGAGGGUGGCAUUGAUACUGCGGGGCUAGAGUACAGAUGAGGUAGGCGGAAUUGACGGUGUAGCGGUGAAAUGCUUAGAUAUCGGCAAGAACACCUAUAGCGAAGGCAGCUUACUAGGCUGUAACUGACGCUGAGGCACGAAAGUGUGGGGAUCAAACAGG